ensembl:lncRNA
UCUCUCUCUCUCUUUCCUUUCCCUCUUCUUUCUCUCCUCUCGCCCCACUGACUCAUCUCUCUCUUUUUUUUUCUUAUUUUCACUUCCCAACUCGUCCCACUCGUCCCUUCACCUCGUUCUUCCCAUUAGCCCCCUCUGCUUUGUUUUCCUGUUUGCCCCUUACUUCCUAUUCACCUCUGUACCCCAUUUGCCCCAUCUUCCCAGUCGCCCUGUCCUUCUAUUCACCCCUCUGCGCCCCUUCUUUCCAUCCGGCCUUACUUCCUACUUGCUCUUUUCCUCUCUUCUCAUUCCUUCGUCACUUUCCAUUCCUCUGCUCAUUCUUCCCAAACACCUGUUCAUCACAUUCCCUGCCCUCUUCCUGUUUGGCCCCUCUUCCUAUUUCCUUAAUCCCUUCCUGAUUAUCCCGCGCUUCCCAUUCUUCCUCUUCGUAUUCACCUCUUCGUGCCUCAUCCUAUUUUCCUCCGUCUCCGGUUCGACCCCCUCUACCCAUUCACAUUCCCUCUUUCCUGCCUCAUCCCUCUCUUCCCCGGGAGCAUGGAGGGUUUGGGAGUAAACGCAGCACUACAUUCAGCUCUGUCAGCCAAUCCGAGAUAUCGGUUGGGUGCAGACGCUAAAGCAACACCUGUGGCGCUGCGCUCUACCUGACCCAAGUGAAUCAGAGUCUGCAGUUGGACGAGUCAGCGAUUUUUAUUCCUCUGGGACUUCUGGAGGAGAGCAGGAGCCACAGGAACCUCGCAGCAAGGCUGUAGUGCGCUUCGCCCCUGAUGUUAAAUACUGAGAGAGAGAGAGAGAGAGAGAGAGAGAGAGACAGACAGACAGACAGACGGUCAGACAGACAGACAGAAAGAGACAUGUAAUGUUCACUACUUAGCAAUGUUUAGGUUUUAUGGCAAUACAUCUAGAAUAUUUAUUUUUAAAAGCUGUUUGAUUUCUGUUGAUCAGCAUCAACAAUCUGGAUGGAAACACACACACACACACACACACACACACUCACACACACUCACCUUUACACUCAGCUGAUUCUGCUCUCUGUAACAGAAAUAAGGCGAGAAAUGAAGCACAUAUUGGAAUAUUACAGUACUGUAUGUAUAUAUAAUGUAUGUAGUAUAUAAUAAUUAUGAAACGCACUCCAGAGCUUCCUUAUAAUAAAGUCAUGAUGAUUAUUUUCUGCAUAGACUGUUUGCAAAGUUUGAAAUGGUGCUAAGAGUUUGCUUUCGGUUCACACUGUCCACGCUUGAGAAUAAUGCUGUCAAUAUCACAGAGAGAGAGAGAGAGAGAGAGAGAGAGAGAGAGAGAGAGAGAGAGAGAGAGAGCAUCAACACCAUGAAGUGCUUCCUUAACGUACAUGUACAUCAUCACUGUAUAAAAAGUCAUCGUGUGAAUAAAAACGCAC